rnacentral:rRNA from 1 species
AGCAGCCGCGGUAAUUCCAGCUCCAAUAGCGUAUAUUAAAGUUGUUGCAGUUAAAAAGCUCGUAGUUGAAUUUCGGGAUCAGAGUGUCGGUCGUGCCUCGGUACGCACUGGUAUUAUUGGUUCCUACCUUCUGAAGAACCGCGAUGUCAUUAAUUUGGUGUCGUGGGGAAUCAGGACUGUUACUUUGAAAAAAUUAGAGUGUUUAAAGCAGGCUUACGCUUGAAUACAUUAGCAUGGAAUAAUGAAAUAGGACGUUUGAUUCUAUUUUGUUGGUUUCUAGGAUUGACGUAAUGAUUAAUAGGGAUAGUUGGGGGCAUUAGUAUUCAAUUGUCAGAGGUGAAAUUCUUGGAUUUAUUGAAGACUAACUACUGCGAAAGCAUUUGCCAAGGAUGUUUUCAUUAAUCAAGAACGAAAGUUAGGGGAUCAAAGACGAUCAGAUACCGUCGUAGUCUUAACCAUAAACUAUGCCGACUAGGGAUCGGAUGAUGUUAAUUUUUAAUGACUCAUUCGGCGCCUUACG